GACGAACGCUGGCGGCGUGCUUAACACAUGCAAGUCGAACGGAAAGGCCCUGCUUGCAGGGUGCUCGAGUGGCGAACGGGUGAGUAACACGUGGGUGAUCUGCCCCUUACUUUGGGAUAAGCCUGGGAAACUGGGUCUAAUACUGGAUAGGACCAUGCUGUAGGUGGUGUGGUGGAAAGAUUUUUUCGGUAAGGGAUGAGCUCGCGGCCUAUCAGCUUGUUGGUGGGGUAAUGGCCUACCAAGGCGUCGACGGGUAGCCGGCCUGAGAGGGUGGACGGCCACAUUGGGACUGAGAUACGGCCCAGACUCCUACGGGAGGCAGCAGUGGGGAAUAUUGCACAAUGGGCGCAAGCCUGAUGCAGCGACGCCGCGUGGGGGAUGACGGCCUUCGGGUUGUAAACUCCUUUCAGCCAUGACGAAGCCUCUUUUGGGGUGACGGUAGUGGUAGAAGAAGCACCGGCUAACUACGUGCCAGCAGCCGCGGUAAUACGUAGGGUGCGAGCGUUGUCCGGAAUUACUGGGCGUAAAGAGCUCGUAGGUGGUCUGUCGCGUCAUUUGUGAAAGCCCGGGUGCUUAACUCCGGGUUGGCAGGUGAUACGGGCAUGACUGGAGUACUGGUAGGGGAGACUGGAAUUCCUGGUGUAGCGGUGAAAUGCGCACAUAUCACGGAGGAACCCCGGUGGCGAAGGCGGGGUCUCUGGGCAGUAACUGACCUGAAGGACGAAAGACGGGUAGUUAACAGGAUUAUAAACUCUGCUGUCCCGGUGGAAUUCUCAGUGCAUAUCAUGGUUACCGAUACCUUCGAUCUCGAGGGGGGC
rnacentral:rRNA from 1 species